rnacentral:rRNA from 1 species
GACGAACGCUGGCGGCGUGCUUAACACAUGCAAGUCGAACGGAAAGGCCCUGCUUUUGUGGGGUGCUCGAGUGGCGAACGGGUGAGUAACACGUGAGUAACCUGCCCUUGACUUUGGGAUAACUUCAGGAAACUGGGGCUAAUACCGGAUAGGAGCUCCUGCUGCAUGGUGGGGGUUGGAAAGUUUCGGCGGUUGGGGAUGGACUCGCGGCUUAUCAGCUUGUUGGUGGGGUAGUGGCUUACCAAGGCUUUGACGGGUAGCCGGCCUGAGAGGGUGACCGGCGGCAUUGGGACUGAGGGAAGGCCCAGACGGCGAAGGGAGGCAGCAGUGGGGAAGAUUGAACAAUGGACGGAAGCCUGAUGAAGCAGCCCCGCGGGCGGGAAGGCGGUCUUCUGGUGAUAGAACGGUAGCAGCUGUAAAGACGGGUGUGUGGCGGUAAUGGGUAGAGUAGCAACGGCUAACUACGUG